AUACGGAGGGUGCGAGCGUUGUUCGGAAUUAUUGGGCGUAAAGAGCAUGUAGGCGGUCUGUUAAGUCUGGUGUGAAAGCCCGGGGCUCAACCCCGGAAGUGCAUUGGAUACUGGCAGACUUGAGUAUGGGAGAGGAAAGCGGAAUUCCGAGUGUAGGAGUGAAAUCCGUAGAUAUUCGGAGGAACACCAGUGGCGAAGGCGGCUUUCUGGACCAGUACUGACGCUGAGAUGCGAAAGCGUGGGGAGCGAACAGGAUUAGAAACCCCGGUAGUCC
rnacentral:rRNA from 1 species